rnacentral:rRNA from 1 species
AACGAACGCUGGCGGCAUGCCUAACACAUGCAAGUCGAACGAGACCUUCGGGUCUAGUGGCGCACGGGUGCGUAACGCGUGGGAACCUGCCCUUAGGUUCGGAAUAACUCCCCGAAAGGGGUGCUAAUACCGGAUAAUGUCUUCGGACCAAAGAUUUAUCGCCUUUGGAUGGGCCCGCGUUGGAUUAGCUAGUUGGUAGGGUAAAAGCCUACCAAGGCGACGAUCCAUAGCUGGUCUGAGAGGAUGAUCAGCCACACUGGGACUGAGACACGGCCCAGACUCCUACGGGAGGCAGCAGUGGGGAAUAUUGGACAAUGGGCGAAAGCCUGAUCCGGCAAUGCCGCGUGAGUGAUGAAGGCCUUAGGGUUGUAAAGCUCUUCUACCCGGGAUGAUAAUGACAGUACCGGGAGAAUAAGCUCCGGCUAACUCCGUG